UAAAGACACAUUUCUAUGAUAUGGCCUUUAACUAACCUGUAGUGGCCGAUUCGGCUAGAGUUUGUUUUUCUUGGGUAUCAAAGUAAUUACUCCUUGCUUCAUUGUUGUUCUUGGGCCGGCUCGAGGAGAGCCUUACUUGAGAACUUGCAAGGUGCACUGCGGCUUUGCCAGUCCGGCGGCGAGCGCCUCCACCCCGUGGUCGCACAAUUUGUUCUCGCUGAGAUCCAGAUGGCUCAGGGUGCGGGACGAGCUUAGAACGGAGGCCAGCGCCUCGCAGCUUUUCUUGCUCAGGUUGCAGCUCUCGAGCCUGAGAAGACAAGAGGGCGGCUGACACAAGCCCAAGGUUCUUGGGCCGGCUGGCCUUCUGCCGCUCGAGGGGAGCCUUACCUGAGAACUUGCAAGGUGCACUGCGGCUUUGCCAGUCCGGCGGCGAGCGCCUCCAGCCCGUCGUCACGCAAGUCGUUCCAGCCGAGAUCCAGCUCCCUCAGGCUGCCGGGCGAGCUUA